GGUUUUUGUCAGUCACGGGAGGCGAACUUAUCGUUCAAUAAAAUGCUGCGCAAAACUCUCAGAUAGUGGCCAUUGAAACUUUCAGUGAGAGUGAGAGACACCCCAUCUCACACAAGAUAAGCCUUCUUCUCUUCCAGCCCCACAUUCCCAGAGAUGGCAUCGGUGCAUAGUGCCUUGACAUCAGUUGUGUGCAAGAAUGGCAAUCAUUCUUCCCCUGCGAAGUUCCCGAGUACUCCCUUCUUGUCUGGGUUUGAUGCUGUGGGGCGUCUUUCAAGCCCAUUUAAGAAGGACAUAUGCCUGAGUUCCAUCAGCUCAGGUCCUAAGGCCACUUUAACUUUUGAUCCUCCAGCAACCAAUUCAGACAAAGCCAAGUUACCCAACCUACCGAGGCAUACAAUCGAUCCUGCUUCUCCUGAUUUCCUGCCUCUUCCGUCCUUCGAACAGUGUUUUCCAAAGAGCACAAAAGAACAAAGGGAAGUUGUUCAUGAAGAAACUGGUCAUGUGCUCAAAGUUCCCUUUCGACGAGUUCACCUGUCUGGAGAUGAACCAGCCUUUGAUAACUAUGACACCAGUGGUCCGCAAAACAUUAACCCACGUGUUGGGCUCCCUCAACUAAGGAAAGAUUGGGUUGACAGGCGGGAGAAAUUAGGUACACCAAGAUACACUCAGAUGUACUAUGCUAAGCAGGGAAUUAUCACUGAGGAAAUGUUGUAUUGUGCCACCCGUGAGAAGCUUGACCCAGAGUUUGUGAGAUCUGAAGUGGCUCGUGGGAGGGCAAUUAUCCCUUCCAAUAAGAAGCACUUGGAGCUUGAGCCAAUGAUUGUUGGGAGAAAGUUUCUGGUCAAAGUUAAUGCAAAUAUAGGAAACUCUGCUGUUGCCAGCUCUAUCGAAGAGGAAGUUUAUAAGGUCCAAUGGGCAACUAUGUGGGGUGCUGACACUGUUAUGGACCUCUCUACAGGUCGCCAUAUUCAUGAGACCCGUGAGUGGAUCCUACGUAACUCUGCUGUGCCAGUAGGGACUGUACCAAUCUAUCAAGCACUUGAAAAGGUAGAUGGAAUUGCAGAAAAUCUUAACUGGGAAGUUUUCAGACAAACUCUGAUUGAACAAGCUGAGCAGGGUGUAGAUUACUUCACCAUCCAUGCUGGGGUUCUACUGCGUUACAUCCCACUAACAGCAAAGCGUAUGACAGGAAUUGUCUCGCGAGGAGGAUCCAUUCAUGCAAAGUGGUGCUUAGCUUAUCAUAAGGAGAAUUUUGCUUAUGAGCAUUGGGAUGACAUACUUGACAUCUGUAAUCAAUAUGAUGUGGCCCUGUCAAUAGGUGAUGGCUUGAGACCCGGUUCCAUUUAUGAUGCCAAUGAUACCGCACAGUUUGCGGAGCUCUUAACUCAGGGAGAACUGACCCGCAGGGCAUGGGAAAAGGAUGUACAGGUAAUGAAUGAAGGACCUGGACAUGUUCCAAUGCACAAGAUUCCUGAGAACAUGGCAAAGCAGCUGGAAUGGUGUAAUGAAGCCCCUUUCUACACUCUCGGUCCUUUGACAACUGAUAUUGCUCCUGGAUAUGAUCACAUCACCUCUGCCAUUGGUGCUGCCAAUAUUGGUGCUCUAGGCACUGCCCUUCUCUGCUAUGUAACCCCUAAAGAGCAUCUUGGAUUGCCCAAUCGGGAUGAUGUGAAGGCUGGAGUUAUAGCAUAUAAGAUAGCUGCUCAUGCUGCUGAUCUAGCCAAAGGUCAUCCACAUGCUCAAGAGUGGGAUGACACAUUAAGCAAGGCAAGAUUUGAGUUCCGGUGGAUGGAUCAGUUUGCUUUGUCUCUAGACCCUAUGACUGCCAUGUCCUUCCAUGAUGAAACCCUGCCCGCAGAAGGUGCCAAGGUGGCCCAUUUUUGCUCAAUGUGUGGGCCAAAGUUCUGUUCUAUGAAGAUAACAGAGGAUGUUAGGAAGUAUGCUGAGGAGCAUGGUUAUGGAACUACCGAGGAAGCUGUGAAGCGUGGUAUGGAUGCCAUGAGUGCUGAGUUUCUUGCUGCCAAGAAAACUGUCAGUGGAGAACAACAUGGUGAAAUUGGUGGAGAAAUUUACUUGCCAGAAAGUUAUGUAAAAUCCUCUGAGAGGUGAAGGAUCAAGUGAAUAACCAGAACCAGUUUGACAACACUGGAGGCUUUUGUCCAUGAUUGGCUUGUCCAAAACGGAGAUCUUAGGUUUUCAUUUUCAUUCUGUGGGGUGCCUGUAUCUGCUCGACCACUGGCUCUUUGGCUGGGAUUAGAGCAGGUCAGGCUGAGAUAGUCCCUUUGAACCUGAACAGGUUAAUACCUGCGUAGGGAGUGUGCAUUUCUUUUUCCUGUCUAUCACAGGGGGAGAGAGAGAGCUUUCGUUCAUGGCUCGGGCUAGCUGAUUAGUCACGUACAAGGCUGGGAGGCAUCUGCCUGGCAAUUCUUUGAUGCUUGCUCUUCUUUAAGAAAGCUUUACCAAACAGGAAAGCUAUGCGAUAAUUUGCUAUUUUGCUGCAUAGUAGUAAACCGUAUUUAUUUCCUCUCGUCAAUUCCAGCUGUCCUCCAAACUUGGUUUU